rnacentral:rRNA from 1 species
CCUACGGGAGGCAGCAGUGGGGAAUUUUGGACAAUGGGCGCAAGCCUGAUCCAGCCAUGCCGCGUGCGGGAAGAAGGCCUUCGGGUUGUAAACCGCUUUUGUCAGGGAAGAAAAGGUUCUGGAUAAUACCUGGGACUCAUGACGGUACCUGAAGAAUAAGCACCGGCUAACUACGUGCCAGCAGCCGCGGUAAUACGUAGGGUGCAAGCGUUAAUCGGAAUUACUGGGCGUAAAGCGUGCGCAGGCGGUUAUGCAAGACAGAGGUGAAAUCCCCGGGCUCAACCUGGGAACUGCCUUUGUGACUGCAUAGCUAGAGUACGGUAGAGGGGGAUGGAAUUCCGCGUGUAGCAGUGAAAUGCGUAGAUAUGCGGAGGAACACCGAUGGCGAAGGCAAUCCCCUGGACCUGUACUGACGCUCAUGCACGAAAGCGUGGGGAGCAAACAGGAUUAGAUACCCUGGUAGUCCACGCCCUAAACGAUGUCAACUGGUUGUUGGGAGGGUUUCUUCUCAGUAACGAAGCUAACGCGUGAAGUUGACCGCCUGGGGAGUACGGCCGCAAGGUUGAAACUCAAAGAUAGUAGACGUGNGAGAGCGACGACGACGACGAGGAGGAGGAG